rnacentral:tRNA from 1 species
UAGACAGAGGCCUGUUGGUUUGGGCAUCUAGCUGUUAACUAGGGGAUUGUGGGAUCGAGGCCCACCUGUCUAG